AACGAACGCUGGCGGCAUGCCUAACACAUGCAAGUAGAACGAGACCUUCGGGUCUAGUGGCGCACGGGUGCGUAACGCGUGGGGACCUGCCCUUAGGUUCGGAAUAACUCCCCGAAAGGGGUGCUAAUACCGGAUAAUGUCUUCGGACCAAAGAUUUAUCGCCUUUGGAUGGGCCCGCGUUGGAUUAGCUAGUUGGUAGGGUAAAAGCCUACCAAGGCGACGAUCCAUAGCUGGUCUGAGAGGAUGAUCAGCCACACUGGGACUGAGACACGGCCCAGACUCCUACGGGAGGCAGCAGUGGGGAAUAUUGGACAAUGGGCGAAAGCCUGAUCCAGCAAUGCCGCGUGAGUGAUGAAGGCCUUAGGGUUGUAAAGCUCUUUUACCCGGGAUGAUAAUGACAGUACCGGGAGAAUAAGCUCCGGCUAACUCCGUG
rnacentral:rRNA from 1 species